UACCCUUUGGAAAGGAAUAGCCUCGGGAAACUGGGAGUAAUGCCUUAUAAGAUACGUUUGUCGCAUGGCAUUUGUAUUAAACGCUCCGGCGCCAUAGGAUGGACCCGCGUCCCAUUAGCUAGUUGGUGAGAUAACAGCUCACCAAGGCCACGAUGGGUAACCGGUCUGAGAGGGCGAACGGUCACACUGGAACUGAGACACGGUCCAGACUCCUACGGGAGGCAGCAGUGGGGAAUAUUGCGCAAUGGGGGCAACCCUGACGCAGCAAUACCGCGUAAGUGAAGAAGGUUUUCGGAUCGUAAAGCUCUGUUAUUGGGGAAGAAGAAAAGACGGUACCCAAGAAGAAAGUUCCGGCUAACUACGUGCCAGCAGCCGCGGUAAUACGUAGGGAACAAGCGUUGUCCGGAUUUACUGGGCGUAAAGGGCACGCAGGCGGUUUUUUAAGUCAGAUGUGAAAGGCCACAGCUCAACUGUGGACAUGCAUUUGAAACUGAAAGACUUGAGUAUUGGAGAGGCAAGUGGAAUUCCUAGUGUAGCGGUGAAAUGCGUAGAUAUUAGGAGGAACACCGGUGGCGAAGGCGGCUUGCUGGACAAAUACUGACGCUGAG
rnacentral:rRNA from 1 species